rnacentral:lncRNA from 1 species
AGUGCAGCUCAGCCAAUCUUAGUGCAUCUAUGGGUAGGUUCAUAAUUAAUUAUUUCUAUAAAUAACUUCUAGUAGUUAGAUUUUGCCCUAGGCAUCUCUUCAGCAAACAUGUGGUGCCUUUACUAAAAAUCUUAAUUAGGUCCAACCAUUAAUAUGACGAUACCAAGCGCAUCCAACAAAUGAAUGUUCAGACCCGAGUGUAGCUCGGCUAACCUAAGCAUUGAUUU